AAGCAAUAUUUACCCCGUCUUCACUCAUAGUGGAGUCGGGGUUUUGCGUAUAGAAGGCCAUGGUGGUGGUUUUCG
rnacentral:tRNA from 1 species